rnacentral:sRNA from 1 species
GGUGCUAUCCUAUCUGAGCUUCCUUCCCACAGUCGUCACCUCCGCCGCCUCUCCUCCCUCGCCUCUACCUUCAGCUGUCUUCAUUCUCUUCUCCCGCGCUCUCCGUUUGCACUCGGAAGCGGCCGUCUUCUUGACCUUGUAAGACCUUUUCUUGGCCUUGUAAGACCCCGCUCCGUAAUUCUCGUCCUACAUCUUCUCUCUACCUCUCCUUUCGCCCGCCCUGCUCUGCACCGGAGUCCAGCCGCCGUGGCCCCGGCCUCCCCUCCCCCCCUUCUCAUCUCCUUCUUCUGUCUAUCCCUCCUGAGCUA